GUUCAUAUAAUUUAAAUAAAGUAUUAGAUUGUGAUUCUAAAUAUGAAAGUUAAAAUCUUUCUUUGAACC
rnacentral:tRNA from 1 species